rnacentral:rRNA from 1 species
UACGGAGGGGGCAAGCGUUGUUCGGAAUUACUGGGCGUAAAGGGCGCGCAGGCGGCUGCUCAAGUCAGGCGUGAAAGGCCUGGGCUCAACCCGGGAAUUGCGCUUGAGACUGGGCUGGCUUGAGUGCGGGAGAGGAUGGUGGAAUUCCCAGUGUAGAGGUGAAAUUCGUAAAUAUUGGGAAGAACACCGGUGGCGAAGGCGGCCAUCUGGACCGCAACGGACGCUGAGGCGCGAAAGCGUGGGGAGCGAACAGG